rnacentral:ncRNA from 1 species
GAUUAACAUCUGUAAAAGGAACUAGGCAAACUCAAGGCCCGACUGUUUACCAAAAACAUAGCCUUCAGCAGAUCAAGUAUUGAAGGUGAUGCCUGCCCAGUGACAUUACGUUCAACGGCCGCGGUAUCCUAACCGUGCGAAGGUAGCGCAAUCAAUUGUCUCAUAAAUCGAGACACGUAUGAAUGGCUAAACGAGGUCUUAACUGUCUCUUACGGAUAAUC